rnacentral:rRNA from 1 species
UAAUACGUAGGGACCAAGCGUUGUUCGGAUUUACUGGGCGUAAAGGGCGCGUAGGCGGCAAUUCAAGUCAGCUGUGAAAUCUCCGGGCUUAACUCGGAACGGUCAGCUGACACUGUUUUGCUAGAGUGCAGAAGGGGCAAUCGGAAUUCUCGGUGUAGCGGUGAAAUGCGUAGAUAUCGAGAGGAACACCUGAGGUGAAGACGGGUUGCUGGGCUGACACUGACGCUGAUGCGCGAGAGCCAGGGUAGCAAACGG